GAUAUUUGAGGUGGUAAAUUUCGUUGCAACCACACACCCAUUGGGUCAAAAGAGAUGCUAUAGAGGCGACGGUAGCCAAAUAUC
rnacentral:ncRNA from 12 species